UGGUACGGACAAGGGGAA
rnacentral:snRNA from 1 species